GUUGUAGUUUAGACAAUGUGUAUUACUGGUGUUGUCAAGUGGAGUCAGGUUUUGAGAUCCCAGACACAGCCACUAACAAAGAACUCUGGCUCUGCUGUAAGCAAUAUAAAAGACUUUAAUGAUUUGAAACAUUAUAUGCUGUACUGCAA